UCUGGCUUAGACAUCUGUCACCUCACUGAUGACCAGGAUUGAUAAGAUUUAUCUGGAUGUUUAGUCUAAUGUACCCU
rnacentral:sRNA from 14 species